rnacentral:rRNA from 1 species
AGUGAACGCUGGCGGUAUGCCUAACACAUGCAAGUCGAACGGCAGCACAGUAAGAGCUUGCUCUUACGGGUGGCGAGUGGCGGACGGGUGAGGAAUACAUCGGAAUCUACUUUUUCGUGGGGGAUAACGUAGGGAAACUUACGCUAAUACCGCAUACGACCUACGGGUGAAAGCAGGGGAUCUUCGGACCUUGCGCGAUUGAAUGAGCCGAUGUCGGAUUAGCUAGUUGGCGGGGUAAAGGCCCACCAAGGCGACGAUCCGUAGCUGGUAUGAGAGGAUGAUCAGCCAGACUGUAACUGAGACACGGUCCAGACUCUGACGGGAGGAAGCAGUGGGGAAUAUUGGACAAUGGGCGCAAGCCUGAUCCAGCCAUACCGCGUGAGUGAAGAAGGCCUUCGGGUUGUAGAGCCCUGUUGUUGGGAAAGAAAAGCAGCAGUUUAACACCCCGCUGUUCUGACGGUACCCAAAGAAUAAGCACCGGCUAACUUCGUG